UACAGAGGAGCCAAGCGUUGUCCGGAUUGACUGGGCGUAAAGCGCACGCAGGCGUCGCGCGCGUGGGUGUGAAAUCUGGCCGGCUUAACGGCCAGGCGCCAUCCCAUACGGCACGCUGGAGUGAUGCAGAGGUCGAUGGAAUUGCCGGUGUAGUGGUGAAAUGCGUAGAGAUCGGCAGGAACACCCAGGGGAAACCUAGUCGGACCUGGGCACUCUACUGCGCUGAGGUUGGCGAGAGCGUGGGGAGCGAACCGGG
rnacentral:rRNA from 1 species